rnacentral:lncRNA from 1 species
GUCCAGAGAUGGCCAUAAGAAGAUGACUUCAAGGCUUGCUACUGGCUUCCAGGGUCUUCCUUUCUCCAGAGAUAGUCUCGUGGCUGGCAGUGGACUUAAAAAAAGGAUGUUUGGGCAGACAAAUAAGACCCAAAGGACAGAGGAGACUACCAGAUUGUUGGAACCAUUCUGAUUUGGCACUUUAUCUGUCACCAAGAUUUGCUGAGAGCUGGAGUCCCAACAGCAGCAAAGGGCACAGAGUCUGAAAUCCACAGAAACAGGAGAUUAAACCCAGGGAGUAUGGAGCUACAUUCCUAGCCGUGUAUGUAUUUAUGUAUGUAUGUAUUUUAUUUUUAAAAAAAUAAAGUCUGGCUAAGUUGCCCUGGAUGGCCUCAAACUUGCAACCCUUCUGUCUCAGCCUCCUAAGCAACUGAAACUACAGUAGUGUACUACUGUGCUCAGCCCAACCUGCCUAUUUUACUUGGCAAACAUAACAUGAGUACUUCUCUAUGAUAUUAGCCCAUUUUUUAAUACUGUAGUGCAUUCCACUGUGUGGCUGCACCGCAAGUUAUCUCUUCAUUCUCCUGUAGAUGGACAUUGAGGUUACUUGUGAUUUAUUAGAAUAAUGUAAACACGUAUCGUAAGUCAAAGGUAAGUAUCUGUACAUGAAUGAUGAGAAGCUUCCUGAUGGUGGUGUCCAUGUGGGGACCCUGUAGAGAACACCUUGGAAUAAGAUGGAAUUGUAUAACCCUAAGUGUG